GACGAACGCUGGCGGCGUGCUUAACACAUGCAAGUCGAACGGAAAGGCCCUGCUUUUGUGGGGUGCUCGAGUGGCGAACGGGUGAGUAACACGUGAGUAACCUGCCCUUGACUUUGGGAUAACUUCAGGAAACUGGGGCUAAUACCGGAUAGGAGCUCCUGCUGCAUGGUGGGGGUUGGAAAGUUUCGGCGGUUGGGGAUGGACUCGCGGCUUAUCAGCUUGUUGGUGGGGUAGUGGCUUACCAAGGCUUUGACGGGUAGCCGGCCUGAGAGGGUGACCGGCCACGUGUGGACUGAGAUACGGGCGAGACUCCUACGGGAGGCAGCAGUGGGGAAUAUUGCACAAUGGGCGGAAGACUGAUGCAGCAACGCCGCGUGCGGGAUGACGGCCUUCGGGUUGUAAACCGCUUUCGCCUGUGACGAAGCGUGAGUGACGGUAAUGGGUAAAGAAGCACCGGCUAACUACGUG
rnacentral:rRNA from 1 species